GUCUAUGGCCAUGCCACCCUGAAAGCGCCCGAUCUUGUCUGAUCUCGGAAGCUAAGCAGGAUCGGGCCUGGUUAGUACUUGGAUGGGAGAUCGCUUGGGAAUACCGGGUGCUGUAGGCU
ensembl:rRNA 5S_rRNA 5S ribosomal RNA